AAACCAGCACCUCAAGUGGUCAGGAGGAUUAUUGGGCCUAAAGCAUCCGUAGCCUGUUCUAUAAGUUUCCGGUUAAAUCCACUAGCUCAACUAGUGGGCUGCCGAAAAUACUGUAGAGCUAGGGAGUGGGAGAGGUAGACGGUACUCGGUAGGAAGGGGUAAAAUCCUUUGAUCUAUUGAUGACCACCUGUGGCGAAGGCGGUCUACCAGAACACGUUCGACGGUGAGGGAUGAAAGCUGGGGGAGCAAACCGGAUUAGAAACCCCGGUAGUCC
rnacentral:rRNA from 1 species